CCGUCGGUCGUAAGCUCUGUUGUACGGAAGAACGCGGAUACAGCUAACAUCUGUAUCCGGUGACGGUACCGUAUAAGAAAGGACCGGCUAACUUCGUGC
rnacentral:rRNA from 1 species